rnacentral:misc_RNA from 1 species
UUUCCGUAGGUGGACCUGCGGAAGGAUCAUUAUUGAAUAAACAGUGUGGGUUGUUGCUGGCCUUCUGGCAUGUGCACGCCUGCCAUAUGUUUCAUUCCCUUCUUUCCACCUGUGCACUAUGUGUAGGCUAUGUAUGCUGUAUUGUCAGGCCCUUCAUAAGGCUUGGUUUAGAGAGGAUGCUUGUCUUUAUGAGACAGGCUCAUCUUGGGCGUACAGGUCUAUGUUUUACACCAACACCAAAUGAAUGUCUUAGAAUGUAUUUUUUCAGGCUCUUGCUAGCCUUUAAACCAUAUACAACUUUCAACAACGGAUCUCUUGGCUCUC